UACGUAGGCAGCAAGCGUUGUUCGGAGUUACUGGGCGUAAAGAGUGCGUAGGCGUUCUUUUAAGUUUGGUGUGAAAUCUCCCGGCUCAACUGGGAGGGUGCGCCGAAAACUGGGAGGCUUGAGGAUGGGAGAGGCAUGCGGAAUUCCUGGUGUAGCGGUGAAAUGCGUAGAUAUCAGGAGGAACACCUGCGGUGUAGACAGCAUGCUGGACCAUUUCUGACGCUGAGGCACGAAAGCGUGGGUAGCAAACAGG
rnacentral:rRNA from 1 species